rnacentral:rRNA from 1 species
GAAUUUCAAGGAAUCGAUAUUUUAUUGUAACUAUUUUAGGGGUUUUAUUUUUGCUUCUUGCUUAAAUUCUUCCCCUAUUAUUAUGUUCUUUAAAUAACAAAGAUUCUUUUUAAAACCCCUUUUUGCUUUUGCUUUUUGGGGUUUUGUUACUU